GAUGAACGCUGGCGGCGUGCCUAAUACAUGCAAGUCGAGCGAACAGACGAGGAGCUUGCUCCUCUGACGUUAGCGGCGGACGGGUGAGUAACACGUGGAUAACCUACCUAUAAGACUGGGAUAACUUCGGGAAACCGGAGCUAAUACCGGAUAAUAUAUUGAACCGCAUGGUUCAAAAGUGAAAGACGGUCUUGCUGUCACUUAUAGAUGGAUCCGCGCCGCAUUAGCUAGUUGGUAAGGUAACGGCUUACCAAGGCAACGAUGCAUAGCCGACCUGAGAGGGUGAUCGGCCACACUGGAACUGAGACACGGUCCAGACUCCUACGGGAGGCAGCAGUAGGGAAUCUUCCGCAAUGGGCGAAAGCUUGACGGAGCAACGCCGCGUGAGUGAUGAAGGUCUUCGGAUCGUAAAACUCUGUUAUUAGGGAAGAACAAAUGUGUAAGUAACUGUGCACAUCUUGACGGUACCUAAUCAGAAAGCCACGGCUAACUACGUG
rnacentral:rRNA from 1 species